rnacentral:rRNA from 1 species
CAGUAGCCGCGGGAAUACGUAGGUCCCGAGCGUUGUCCGGAUUUAUUGGGCGUAAAGCGAGCGCAGGCGGUUAGAUAAGUCUGAAGUUAAAGGCCGUGGCUUAACCAUAGUACGCUUUGGAAACUGUUUAACUUGAGUGCAAGAGGGGAGAGUGGAAUUCCAUGUGUAGCGGUGAAAUGCGUAGAUAUAUGGAGGAACACCGGUGGCGAAAGCGGCUCUCUGGCUUGUAACUGACGCUGAGGCUCGAAAGCGUGGGGAGCAAACAGGAUUAGAGACCCCCGUAGUCCCUGUCUCUUAUACA